rnacentral:rRNA from 1 species
UAGGGAAUCUUCGGCAAUGGACGGAAGUCUGACCGAGCAACGCCGCGUGAGUGAAGAAGGUUUUCGGAUCGUAAAGCUCUGUUGUUAGAGAAGAACGGUAAUGGGAGUGGAAAAUCCAUUACGUGACGGUAACUAACCAGAAAGGGACGGCUAACUACGUGCCAGCAGCCGCGGUAAUACGUAGGUCUCGAGCGUUGUCCGGAUUUAUUGGGCGUAAAGCGAGCGCAGGCGGUUCUAUAAGUCUGAAGUAAAAGGCAGUGGCUCAACCAUUGUAUGCUUUGGAAACUGUAGAACUUGAGUGCAGAAGGGGAGAGUGGAAUUCCAUGUGUAGCGGUGAAAUGCGUAGAUAUAUGGAGGAACACCGGUGGCGAAAGCGGCU